rnacentral:rRNA from 1 species
GGACUACAGGGGUAUCUAAUCCGUUUUGCUCCCCACGCUUUCAUGCCUCAACGUCAGUAACAGAAUAGUUAACUGCCUUCGCCUUAUUGGUGUUCUUCCAUAUAUCGUCACAUUUUACCGCUCCACAUGGAGUUCCGUUAACCUCUCCUGCACUCAAGCUGAACAGUAUUAUCAACUUCCACGAGGUUGAGCCUCGAUUUCCCACUGAUAACUUAUCAAGCCGCCUACGCAUCCUUUACGCCCAAUAAAUCCGGAUAACGUUCGCCACCUAUGUCUUACCGCGGCUGCUGGCAC